rnacentral:rRNA from 1 species
AUUGAACGCUGGCGGCAGGCCUAACACAUGCAAGUCGAGCGAGCGGCGGACGGGUGAGUAAUGUAUGGGGACUGCCCGAUAAAGGGGGCUAACACCUGGAAACGGUGGCUAAUACCGCAUACUAAAGGCUAACCCAUAUGGGAUUGGCUAGUAGGUGGGGUAAAGGCUCACCUAGGCGACGCUCUCUAGCUGGUCUGAGAGGAUGAUCGGCAACACUGGGAGUGAGACACGGCCCAGACUCCUACGGAGGAAGCAGUGGGGAAUAUUGCAGAAUGGGCGCAAGCCGGAUGUAGCCAUGCCGCGUGUAUGAAGAAGGCCCUAGGGUUGGAAAGUACUUUCAGCGGUGAGGCGUUACCCGCAGAAGAAGCACCGGCUAACUCCGUGCCAGCAGCCGCGGUAAUUC